rnacentral:lncRNA from 1 species
CCUGGAGCUUGCUGGCCAGCAAGCAUAGCUACUUGAUAGCUCAAGCCAGUGAGAAGCCUUGCCUGGAAAAUCAAGGUGUUCAGCAUCUGAGGAAUGACACCUGAGGUUGACUUCUGGCUCCUAUGCACACGUAUAUGCGUGCACUUGCACACAUAUGUUUCCUCAUCUCUACCUUAUCCGGGGAGCUCCAUUGCCCAGACUCUACCUGAGAAAUAUCACCUAAUCCCUGGUGAGAUUACAGGUUCAAGUUCCUGGCAUGCUUUUCCAUACUAAUGAGGUAUCCCCAAUACCUUAAGCCUCAGCCAAUGAGACUUUACCCUAAGAAGAACCAUUCCCACUUUCCAAGGAGUACAUAGUCCUUGUUCACCCUGCACAAAGACUACAAGCUCCUUCAUUGAAUGCUGUCUGAAAAAAAAAAUGUAACACUGAAUUCUUCAGAGAAGAUCUUCCCACAGCACUCACCCCCACACCUGUAUCCUGCUGCCCCACCCUUCAUGACUUCACAUCAUCUUUUCCAGCCUGGUAUGCACUGUGGUCUAGA